AUUUAGCGCUCUAGAUCACUCAAAGUUUUUUAGUAGUCCUCACCAAGGCAUGAAUGCCAACUUGUUUCAUCCUAUAAUUAUAGGCUUAUAUGGGGCUUGGUAGGGAUAAACAAGGUAGCAUACUCUACUUUGCAAAUAUUGUUAAGUCAAAAACAAGGAUCCAAAGAGAGGAGUGUCAUAGUCAUAGAUCAAGAUGUGCAAGUGUGUUAUAUGGUGGACUAGGUUGCUCCUUUAUUUACUACACUCUCUCUACUUGUAUAUUGAGACAUGGCUAGAUUUUCUUUUUCUUCGAGCUUUAUGUGCUCAAUUUUUUUUUUCAUGGACUUGCACAUGUCCAUCUUUUCUUUUUCUUUUAUUUUGCCAAGCCCUUUUAUGUCUCAUUUUCUAAACAGUAUUUAGAGAGGUGUUCUAACACUUAGAGUAUGGAGCAACCUAUUUAGUGGAUGCACAAUACAUGUGGUUGCGUACUUCCAGUGUAGAAGCAGCAUAUAUAUAUGUGGUGUGUACGUGAUCUUGAUCUUGUGACUAUGAUACAACUCUCACUAGGGUCAACAAGGUUUUGACAAAACUCAUUACAAAAGCAGGUUGCAUUUCAUAAAAUGGUUACUUGAAUAUCUAAGUGUAUGGCUUUUAGUGGGAAUUUCUUGCU
rnacentral:lncRNA from 1 species